rnacentral:rRNA from 1 species
UACGGAGGGGGCGAGCGUUAUUCGGAAUUAUUGGGCGUAAAGGGCGCGUAGGUGGCCCCUUAAGUCAAAGGUGAAAUCCCUCGGCUCAACUGAGGAACUGCCUUUGAAACUGAUGGGCUUGAGGCCGGGAGGGGGUAGCGGAAUUCCCAGUGUAGCGGUGAAAUGCGUAGAUAUUGGGAGGAACACCAGUGGCGAAGGCGGCUACCUGGACCGGUUCUGACGCUGAUGCGCGAAAGCGUGGGUAGCAAACAGG